rnacentral:rRNA from 1 species
UAGGGAAUCUUCCACAAUGGACGAAAGUCUGAUGGAGCAAUGCCGCGUGAGUGAAGAAGGUUUUCGGAUCGUAAAGCUCUGUUGUGAGGGAAGAACACGUACGAGAGUAACUGCUCGUACCUUGACGGUACCUCAUUAGAAAGCCACGGCUAACUACGUGCCAGCAGCCGCGGUAAUACGUAGGUGGCAAGCGUUGUCCGGAAUUAUUGGGCGUAAAGCGCGCGCAGGCGGUCUUUUAAGUCUGAUGUGAAAGCCCACGGCUCAACCGUGGAAGGUCAUUGGAAACUGGGAGACUUGAGUACAGAAGAGGAAAGCGGAAUUCCACGUGUAGCGGUGAAAUGCGUAGAGAUGUGGAGGAACACCAGUGGCGAAGGCGGCUUUCUGGUCUGUAACUGACGCUGAGGCGCGAAAGCGUGGGGAGCAAACA